rnacentral:rRNA from 1 species
AGAGUUUGAUCCUGGCUCAGGAUGAACGCUGGCGGCGUGCCUAAUACAUGCAAGUCGAACGAGAGGAAGGAAAGCUUGCUUUUCUGAAUCUAGUGGCGAACGGGUGAGUAACACGUAGGUAACCUGCCCAUGUGCCCGGGAUAACUUCUGGAAACGGAUGCUAAAACCGGAUAGGUAGCAGACAAGCAUUUGACUGCUAUUAAAGUGGCUAAGGCCAUGAACAUGGAUGGACCUGCGGUGCAUUAGCUAGUUGGUGAGGUAACGGCCCACCAAGGCGACGAUGCAUAGCCGGCCUGAGAGGGCGGACGGCCACAUUGGGACUGAGACACGGCCCAAACUCCUACGGGAGGCAGCAGUAGGGAAUUUUCGUCAAUGGGGGGAACCCUGAACGAGCAAUGCCGCGUGAGUGAGGAAGGUCUUCGGAUCGUAAAGCUCUGUUGUAAGAGAAAAACGACAUUCAUAGGGAAUGAUGAGUGAGUGAUGGUAUCUUACCAGAAAGUCACGGCUAACUACGUGCCAGCAGCCGCGGUAAUACGUAGGUGGCGAGCGUUAUCCGGAAUGAUUGGGCGUAAAGGGUGCGUAGGUGGCAGAACAAGUCUGGAGUAAAAGGUAUGGGCUCAACCCGUACUGGCUCUGGAAACUGUUCAGCUAGAGAACAGAAGAGGACGGCGGAACUCCAUGUGUAGCGGUGAAAUGCGUAGAUAUAUGGAAGAACACCGGUGGCGAAGGCGGCCGUCUGGUCUGUUGCUGACACUGAAGCACGAAAGCGUGGGGAGCAAAUAGGAUUAGAUACCCUAGUAGUCCACGCCGUAAACGAUGAGAACUAGGUGUUGGGGGAAUAACUCAGUGCCGCAGUUAACGCAAUAAGUUCUCCGCCUGGGGAGUAUGCACGCAAGUGUGAAACUCAAAGGAAUUGACGGGGGCCCGCACAAGCGGUGGAGUAUGUG